AAUAGAUACCCGGGUAGUCCACGCCGUAAACGAUGAGUGCUAAGUGUUAGAGGGUUUCCGCCCUUUAGUGCUGCAGCAAACGCAUUAAGCACUCCGCCUGGGGAGUACGGCCGCAAGGCUGAAACUCAAAGGAAUUGACGGGGGCCCGCACAAGCGGUGGAGCAUGUGGUUUAAUUCGAAGCAACGCGAAGAACCUUACCAGGUCUUGACAUCUCCUGACAACCCUAGAGAUAGGGCGUUCCCCUUCGGGGGACAGGAUGACAGGUGGUGCAUGGUUGUCGUCAGCUCGUGUCGUGAGAUGUUGGGUUAAGUCCCGCAACGAGCGCAACCCUUGAUCUUAGUUGCCAGCAUUCAGUUGGGCACUCUAAGGUGACUGCCGGUGACAAACCGGAGGAAGGUGGGGAUGACGUCAAAUCAUCAUGCCCCUUAUGACCUGGGCUACACACGUGCUACAAUGGAUGGUACAAAGGGCUGCAAGACCGCGAGGUUAAGCGAAUCCCAUAAAAACCAUUCUCAGUUCGGAUUGCAGGCUG
rnacentral:rRNA from 1 species